GUUUUCUCUCUAACCACUACACUAAGCUGAGAGAGUUGUUUCUCUAACCACUAGGCUACACUGAGAGAGUUGUUUCGCUCUACGCUCUAACCACUAGACUACACUGAGAGAGUUGUUUCUCUAACCACUAGACUACACUGAGAGAGUUGUUUCUCUAACCACUAGACUACACUGAGAGAGUUGUUUCUCUAACCACUAGACUACACUGAGAGAGUUGUUUCUCUAACCACUAGACUACACUGAGAGUUUUGUUUCUCUAACCACUAGGCUACACUGAGAGUUGUUUCGCUCUACGCUCUAACCACUAGACUACACUGAGAGUUGUUUCGCUUUACGCUCUAACCACUAGACUAAGCUGAGAGAGUUGUUUCUCUAACCACUAGGCUACACUGAGAGAGUUGUUUCGCUUUACGCUCUAACCACUAGACUACACUGAGAGAGUUGUUUCGCUCUACGCUCUAACCACUAGACUAAGCUGAGAGAGUUGUUUCUCUAACCACUAGACUACACUGAGAUAGUUGUUUCGCUCUACGCUCUAACCACUAGACUACGCUGAGAGUUGUUUCUCUAACCACUAGACUACAGCUGAGAGAGUUGUUUCUCUAACCACUAGGCUACACUGAGAGAGUUGUUUCGCUUUACGCUCUAACCACUAGACUACGCUGAGAGUUGUUUCGCUUUACGCUCUAACCACUAGACUAAGCUGAGAUAGUUGUUUCGCUCUACGUUCUAACCACUAGACUACACUGAGAGUUGUUUCGCUCUACGCUCUAACCACUAGACUACACUGAGAUAGUUGUUUCGCUCUACGCUCUAACCACUAGACUACGCUGAGAGUUGUUUCUCUAACCACUAGACUACGCUGAGAGAGUUGUUUUGCUCUACACUCUAACCACUAGACUACGCUGAGAGUUGUUUCUCUAACCACUAGACUACACUGAGAGAGUUGUUUAUGUUCGUUGUUCUACUGUAAAUCUCCUAUGUUUGAUGUGUUGAAGAGAUAGUUGUUUCUCUAACCACUAGGCUACACUGUGAGAGUUGUUUCUCUAACCAAUAGGCUACACUGUGAGAGUUGUUUCUCUAACCACUAGACUACGCUGAGAGAGUUGUUUAGGUUCGUUGUUCUACUGUAAAUCUCCUAUGUUUGAUGUGUUGAAGAGAUAGUUGUUUCUCUAACCACUAGGCUACACUGAGAGUUGUUUCUCUAACCACUAGGCUACACUGAGAGUUGUUUCUCUAACCACUAGGCUACACUGAGUGUUGUUUCUCUAACCACUAGGCUACACUGUGAGAGUUGUUUCUCUAACCACUAGACUACACUGAGAGUUGUUUCUCUAACCACUAGGCUACACUGAGUGUUGUUUCUCUAACCACUAGGCUACACUGUGAGAGUUGUUUCUCUAACCACUAGACUACACUGAGAGUUGUUUCUCUAACCACUAGGCUACACUGAGUGUUGUUUCUCUAACCACUAGGCUACACUGAGUGUUGUUUCUCUAACCACUAGGCUACACUGAGAGUUGUUUCUCUAACCACUAGGCUACACUGAGAGUUGUUUCUCUAACCACUAGGCUACACUGAGUGUUGUUUCUCUAACCACUAGGCUACACUGUGAGAGUUGUUUCUCUAACCACUAGACUACACUGAGAGUUGUGUCUCACGUGCAGGUUAUUAUCAUAAUUUCAUGAGUGACGGAACUCUAAGCAGCAAAUGUAUUUUUAUAACAAAUAGCUGUUGAAUACCACAAAGUCACCUCACAUAUCCAGAUUAUAAUGUGUCAGCAAUAGCAAAUCAGGAACGAAAUGUAAUUAAUCAGGAGUACUCAGAUAUUUGAGCAAUUUAUUUAUUGAUCAUUGGUUGAUGAUCUGUGAUAAUCUGUUGUUGUACUGUUUGUGGUACAUGUUGAUCCGGCUUCUCUCUGUAUGAUAUAUAUAUAUAUAUAUAUAGUAAAGAUUUGUAAAUACUGUACCGAUCUCACGGGACAGAUCAUGUUUAUAUGUAUAACACUCUAAAUCAUGUUCUUCUAAAGACAUUGUUGAUUACAAGCAAACAACUAAGUAAAUGGUGAAGAAAACUGUACAUAACGAAUACUGUUAAAGGCAGCUCCUGUUAUCAAUGUGUAUUGUAUAUGUUCUUGUUGUUUUUGUUGUGAGGAUUUGGAAUGUACAUUAUUAAAUGAUUCCUCUAAACUGUCAACUAGAA
ensembl:lncRNA